rnacentral:rRNA from 1 species
CAAGUCGAGCGAGAACCGGUCCUUCGGGACCGGGGAAAGCGGCGAACGGGUGAGUAACACGUGAGUAAUCCACCCUCGGCACCGGGAUAGCCCGGGGAAACUCGGAUUAAUACCGGAUGGCCCAGCAGCUCUUCGGGGCGGCUGGAAAAGGUAGCUUCGGCCUCCGGCCGAGGACGAGCUCGCGGCGGAUUAGCUUGUUGGUGGGGUAAUGGCCUACCAAGGCGACGAUCCGUAGCUGGUCUGAGAGGACGAUCAGCCACACUGGGACUGAGACACGGCCCAGACUCCUACGGGAGGCAGCAGUGGGGAAUCUUGCGCAAUGGGCGAAAGCCUGACGCAGCGACGCCGCGUGAGGGAAGAAGGCUUUCGGGUUGUAAACCUCUUUCAGGAGGGACGAAGCUACUCGGGUUAAUAGCCCAGAGGGUGACGGUACCUCCAGAAGAAGCCCCGGCUAACUACGUGCCAGCAGCCGCGGUAAUACGUAGGGGGCAAGCGUUGUCCGGAUUUAUUGGGCGUAAAGAGCGUGUAGGCGGUUGGAUAGGUCCGUUGUGAAAACUCGAGGCUCAACCUCGAGACGCCGAUGGAAACCAUCUAACUAGAGUCCGGAAGAGGAGAGUGGAAUUCCUGGUGUAGCGGUGAAAUGCGCAGAUAUCAGGAGAACACCCGUGGCUAGGCGGCUCUCUAGUACGGUACUGACGCUGAGACGCAAAAGCGUGGGGAGCGAACAGGAUUA